AGAGUUUGAUCCUGGCUCAGAUUGAACGCUGGCGGCAUGCCUUACACAUGCAAGUCGAACGGCAGCACGGGAGCAAUCCUGGUGGCGAGUGGCGAACGGGUGAGUAAUAUAUCGGAACGUGCCCAGUCGUGGGGGAUAACGUAGCGAAAGCUACGCUAAUACCGCAUACGAUCUAUGGAUGAAAGCGGGGGAUCGCAAGACCUCGCGCGAUUGGAGCGGCCGAUAUCAGAUUAGCUAGUUGGUGGGGUAAAAGCCCACCAAGGCGACGAUCUGUAGCUGGUCUGAGAGGACGACCAGCCACACUGGAACUGAGACACGGUCCAGACUCCUACGGGAGGCAGCAGUGGGGAAUUUUGGACAAUGGGCGCAAGCCUGAUCCAGCAAUGCCGCGUGCAGGACGAAGGCCUUCGGG
rnacentral:rRNA from 1 species